UACGUAGGGGGCGAGCGUUGUCCGGAGUUACUGGGCGUAAAGCGCACGUAGGCGGUCUUUUAAGUCGGGGGUGAAACCCUGGAGCUCAACUCCAGAACUGCCUUCGAUACUGGAAGACUUGAGUCCGGGAGAGGUGAGUGGAACUGCGAGUGUAGAGGUGAAAUUCGUAGAUAUUCGCAAGAACACCAGUGGCGAAGGCGGCUCACUGGCCCGGUACUGACGCUGAGGUGCGAAAGCGUGGGGAGCAAACAGG
rnacentral:rRNA from 1 species